GUUGUAGUGGUAAAAUGAUGGAAACAACAUAGGGAAAGGGGUUUAUUUUGGCUUGUGGUUCCAGAGAGACAGAGUCCAUCAGAGUGGGGAAGACAUGGCAACAGGAACAUGAAGCUCACUCAUCGCAAUGCAUCAGAAGUUAGACAGCAGAGAGAGAACAGGAAGCCAGCUCAGACUCGGAAGCCUUAAAGCCCACCCCCAGUGACUCACUUCCUCCAGCAAGGGUCUAGCUUCUAAAGGGUUUCAGGACCCUCCCCAAAAGCAGGGGGAAGUACUCAGAUGGGAGCCUCUGGGAAGACUUUAUAUUCAAACCUCAGCCUCUCCAAUUACCAGCUUCUCAAAGAUAGGGAGUUUAGACGCAAAGAUAACACAGGCAUGUGCAAAAGCUGUAGGGAACUUCUCUACCAGUUGAGCUCUGCUCUGCUUGCUGUGUUUGGUGAUCUUGAUAUUUAACUACAGUGAUGAUAAGUGGGAAACAUUUUUAUAGUAUGUUAAAUGCAGUUUUGUAAGGAACAAAACAAACUCUUGAUGUUCAAUGAUAAACUGAUUUCUGAAAAAUGCUGAUUCAUCCACGAAAUGAAGUAAUAUGCUGCUAAUGCUAUUACAUUCCCAAAGCAAACCUAUCAAAUAAAAGCCAUAAAGACAAGAA
rnacentral:lncRNA from 1 species